AGUGAACGCUGGCGGUAGGCCUAACACAUGCAAGUCGAACGGCAGCACAGUAAGGGCUUGCUCUUACGGGUGGCGAGUGGCGGACGGGUGAGGAAUACAUCGGAAUCUACUUUUUCGUGGGGGAUAACGUAGGGAAACUUACGCUAAUACCGCAUACGACCUACGGGUGAAAGCAGGGGAUCUUCGGACCUUGCGCGAUUGAAUGAGCCGAUGUCGGAUUAGCUGGUUGGCGGGGUAAAGGCCCACCAAGGCGACGAUCCGUAGCUGGUCUGAGAGGAUGAUCAGCCACACUGGAACUGAGACACGGUCCAGACUCCUACGGGAGGCAGCAGUGGGGAAUAUUGGACAAUGGGCGCAAGCCUGAUCCAGCCAUACCGCGUGGGUGAAGAAGGCCUUCGGGUUGUAAAGCCCUUUUGUUGGGAAAGAAAAGCAGCAGGUUAAUACCCCGCUGUUCUGACGGUACCCAAAGAAUAAGCACCGGCUAACUUCGUG
rnacentral:rRNA from 1 species